rnacentral:sRNA from 12 species
UAGUGAAAUAAAUCCUUACGGAUUUGUGAAAUACGCUUUGCGUGUGAAAUAUUCAUUCUGAAUGUGAAAUGCCUA